UACGAGGGGGGCGAGCGUUGUUCGGAAUUAUUGGGCGUAAAGGGCGCGUAGGCGGUCGGAUAAGUCUUGUGUGAAAUCUUCGGGCUCAACUCGAAGUCUGCACGGGAAACUAUCUGGCUUGAGUGUGGGAGAGGUGAGUGGAAUUCCUGGUGUAGCGGUGAAAUGCGUAGAUAUCGAGAGGAACACCAGUGGCGAAGGCGAGUCCCUGGACAGGUCCUGACGCUGAGGCACGAAAGCUAGGGGAGCAAACAGG
rnacentral:rRNA from 1 species